UACGGGGGGGGCAAGCGUUGUUCGGAAUUACUGGGCGUAAAGGGCUCGUAGGCGGCCAACUAAGUCAGACGUGAAAUCCCUCAGCUUAACUGGGGAACUGCGUCUGAUACUGGAUGGCUUGGAUUCGGGAGAGGAAUGCGGAAUUCCAGGUGUAGCGGUGAAAUGCGUAGAUAUCAGGAAGAACACCCGUGGCUAAGGCGGCUCUCUAGUACGGUACUGACGCUGAGACGCGAAAGCGUGGGGAGCGAACAGG
rnacentral:rRNA from 1 species